rnacentral:rRNA from 1 species
GGACCUACGGGGGGCAGCAGUGAGGAAUAUUGGUCAAUGGGCGGAAGCCUGAACCAGCCAAGUCGCGUGAGGGAAUAAGGCCCUACGGGUCGUAAACCUCUUUUGCCGGGGAGCAAGGGCGGGGACGUGUCCCGGCCCGGAGAGUACCCGGAGAAAAAGCAUCGGCUAACUCCGUGCCAGCAGCCGCGGUAAUACGGAGGAUGCGAGCGUUAUCCGGAUUUACUGGGUGUAAAGGGAGCGUAGACGGCAGCGCAAGUCUGGAGUGAAAUGCCGGGGCUCAACCCCGGAACUGCUUUGGAAACUGG